CUCUAAACUAAGAGCCUUUCUCUCUUUCCACAAGAACAAGCGAUACGCCAUUGCAGCUGACUCCAAUUUUUGACUAGAUUCAUCACAUCUGCAAGGCUAUGGAUGUCUUAUGGCAGCAUACGUGGAGGAUGUCCAAUGAUACCGCAGACAGUUUGGCGAAAGAGGGAGCUAGAAGCCAUAGUCAGGUCACUCAAGCCAGGUCCACAUUCUUUUUUCUGCAAGACCAGUGGAACCUAACCAGUACCUGAACCUUUUGUGUUUAGAUACCCUUUUUGGUUACUAGUCGUUUGUAUCUUUACUGUAAACGGGCACUCUUUUAAGCCUUUUCUUCCUUUUCCUGCAACUUCCUUGUAAACUUUGUAAGGGGGCAUUCAUAUGCCCAUUUUUUGUUACAGGGUCUAUUUGACCUAUUUUUUACCAAGAGUCCCAUCUAGAGGGUACUCCAUCUAGAGGGUACUCUUGGAUCAAUCCCUAACUGUAAUCUUUCUCCAUAUAGCAAUACAAAAGUCUAACUUUUCUA